AGCAUCCGUAGCCGGCCGUCUAAGUUUUCGGUUAAAUCUAUGCGCUUAACGUAUAGGCCGCCGAAAAUACUGGACAGCUAGGGAGUGGGAGAGGUACACGGUACUCAAUAGGAAGGGGUAAAAUCCUUUGAUCUAUUGAUGACCACCUGUGGCGAAGGCGGUGUACCAGAACACGUUCGACGGUGAGGGAUGAAAGCUGGGGGAGCAAACCGGAUUAGAUACCCGGGUAGUCCCAGCUGUAAACGAUGCAGACUCGGUGAUGCAUUGGCUUGUGGCCAAUGCAGUGCCGCAGGGAAGCCGUUAAGUCUGCCGCCUGGGAAGUACGUACGCAAGUAUGAAACUUAAAGGAAUUGGCGGGGGAGCACCACAAGGGGUGAAGCCAGCGGUUCAAUUGGAGUCAACGCCAGAAACCUUACCCGGGGCGACAGCAGAAUGAAGGUCAAGCUGAAGACUUUACCAGACAAGCUGAGAGGUGGUGCAUGGCCGUCGCCAGCUCGUGCCGUGAGAUGUCCUGUUAAGUCAGGUAACGAGCGAGACCCCUGCGUCUAGUUGCUACCAUUACUCUCUGGAGUAGUGGAGCGAAUUAGACGGACCGCCACAGUUAAUGUGGAGGAAGGAAGGGGCACGGCAGGUCAGUAUGCCCCGAAACCCUGGGGCCACACGCGGGCUGCAAUGGUAUUGACAAUGUGUUCCGAAUCCGAAAGGAGGAGGCAAUCAUCAAACGAUACCUCAGUUAUGACUGAGGGCUGUAACUCGCCCUCACGAAUAUGGAA
rnacentral:rRNA from 1 species